GGUCUGACUCUGCCUGUUCUACGCAGCCCCCCAGGUAUGAUAUACUGAACCGCUUUAGGGCCCUGCAGAGUCCUCACCCACCAAAGGCCCCUACCAAGUGCCACCUCUUGACCUUGGGCUUCCCAGCCUCCAGAAAUACAAGGGAUAAAUAUCUUAGCGAUUCUGUCAAAGCAAUGGAAAACCAACCCAGGGGGCAGACAUGGUAAAACACAAGCAAAAGAGGAGAACACAGCUGUUGUUUUAACGCGUGGGGAAUAAGCAACGUCCUGGUGGACACAGACGCUUCCCGGGUGCUGGUUUCGACUCGAGGUUCCUGCUGACACGGACCCAGCCGAAUGGAGGAGGAGAAGUCACCCCAGUGUGUGCAAGGCCCACAUAUACCGCCUUUGGAGUCUACCACAGGCCCGACCAUUUCCCCGCUCUUUUCAGGAUUGUGAAACAUUCAUCACGUGCUUUUAAAUUUCACAUUUUAAGGAGAGCAAAAAAAAAAAAAAAAAUAAAGAACAAAAACGCCAGUAUUGGUGGACUCACAGGGCUGGAAGGAACAUCAAGAUGAAGCCCUCUGUAGAGUUCUGCUUCUAGACCAUCACCCAUCACGGAGGUAUUCUGCCGGCUCUCUCUUCUUUGGACAGAAGAAUGGCCAGAGGCAUUUUUACCCAAGAGUAGUAGACAAAAUCAUCGCGUCAUUAUCCUAUGACUUGGAGGGUUUUAUAAAAAGACAAAGCCUUUAUAAAAAUGGAACUUGACAUCUGCUGUUUGGAUUGGACAUUUCCUUACUUAUAGCCCCCAAAAGAAAAAAGAAUCUGUUUUCUCAAAUUUCAAAUCAUCGAGGAAAAGGAGGGGAACGGGGGCAAUUUAAGAAGUAUUCCACGUGGUAUUCUGGGUUAAGAAGAAAAGGAGGCCAGCUGUAAAUCUGCCUCCGAAGAAUAUCUGUAUAUAGCGGCUGAAGGAGAAUACAAAGUAACUUCAAAAAGGAAGGAUUCUCCAGGGAUAGUCAGCCAGACAACUGUGGUAGGAGUUCUUCUUAGCUCCUGCGGGAAUGUGAGCAGGGAAGAGACAAGGAUGCAGCGAUGGCAGAGCCUUACGUGACCGGGAAGUGAGUGAGAGGAUCGGGGGAGCCUAAGAUAUCGACGGGAGAGGAAAGGACGCAGAUCCCUGUCCGGUGGGGUCUCUGUGCGCGGAGUGCAGGUCAGGUAACCUUUGUCAAGGCCCUAGCCGCAUGAGCGUAGCUCUGAGAGACCUGGGCACGCCUGCAAAAGUGAGCGAUGUGUUUGUCGUCCAGCCCAGACGUCCACCCACUGCUCCUUACUCAGGGGAAGGGUUGGAGACCACACCGCGGCUGACUCAACUGGGAUUAUCCAGUAACGCCAGCUCCUGGUCAGUCCUGCGUGAAUCCUGUUCAGCUCGGUCUCUGGAGGAUCACGCAGCCGUAGUAGAUGGCGUGGGACAAACCCGGGGAGAGCCAUGAGAAGUAAAGGGAGCUGAUUGUGGGCAGAGGCGGACAAGAAGAUAAGCCCUCCGCAGGUGUGGCUGCGGGAGGCCAUGCCUGGAAUCCGGGGGACUUGCAUAGUUGGCUCUGUCCGCACUGCCAGAAGGGAAGGCUGAAGUGAAACACGGAUCCUGUAGCAGCUCCCGAGGCCUAGAUUUUGCUCAUUGUAUCCCCACUUUGUUUUUCAAAUCAUGAUCCUCUCACCCUUGCUUUUCUUCUAAGCUAUUAGGUAAGUCUAAAGGCUUUAUUAAGUCCAGGUU